rnacentral:misc_RNA from 1 species
UAUAUAUAUAUAUAUAUACACAUUUUUUUUUCAUAUUCCAACGUAUCAAGUUAUCCCCCUUCCUCUACUUGAACCCAGCUGCCUCGUCGUGUUCAUUCCUCAUCUCUCGCUUCUUUUCCAUUCUCUCUCUCUCUCUUUCCAAAACUGGCUCUUAUAGUUAUUUAUAUACUAUAAUCCAUAUCUGAUUUCGUCUUUUUAGGCUAUCAUUUUUUGGUGGCCUCCAUCUCUGUUCUUGCCCACAUCGGAUCUGGGAUUUCCUUGCUUUGUCUUCAAGGGUUUUGUUCAAUCCUGGACUUUUAUUUGGAGAUUGGCGUUAUGGGGAUUCGUUGCUGAUCUCUAGUUGAUUAUUAGUGGAAAGGCAACACAGGCGUGAAAAAUAAGUUGCUUUUGCAAUUAUUGAAGAUCGAUAAGCUCCAUUGCAAGUUAAAACUGGAAAGUGUUGUUUACUUGAUGCAGUUAGAUAUCUUUAUUGGUAAUGGUCGCCAUAACAUAUAAUUUGUCUAGUAAAUUUUCAAUUUCCUGAAUGGGUUGACUUUGAGGAUUGAAUUCUUUAAAUAGUUUGUGAAUACAUAGGGGCGUUAGUCAUUUUGCGAGUAAGGAGAAGGUAAAAAAUCAGAGUGGGUUUGGCAGCUAGAAAUGGAUCGUGUAAUUCUAAAAGAGAGAGAUUUUGAGGUUGAUCUUGAAAAUGGAGUGCAAGCUAGUGAUGAAGAUCAAAGCAAAGACUCUAUUUCUGGUGUAAAAAUACAAUCGAAGGAGUUGCUUGCUAAGAUUUGUGCCAUCUUUGCUGAUGGAGCAAUGAAGAGUGAAGACGAGUUAAUUCUAUGCCCUCAUGCACCGAAUUCAAAUGGGGUUUCUGUGGAGCAAGUAAACUUAGAUGGAGAGAAAACUGUUGAUCAUGUAGAGAAGAAAGUGGUAAAGGAG